rnacentral:rRNA from 1 species
UGGGGAAUUUUGGACAGUGGGCGCAAGCCUGAUCCAGCCAUGCCGCGUGCGGGAAGAAGGCCUUCGGGUUGUAAACCGCUUUUGUCAGGGAAGAAAUCUUCUGAGUUAAUACCUCGGGAGGAUGACGGUACCUGAAGAAUAAGCACCGGCUAACUACGUGCCAGCAGCCGCGGUAAUACGUAGGGUGCAAGCGUUAAUCGGAAUUACUGGGCGUAAAGCGUGCGCAGGCGGUUUUGUAAGACAGAGGUGAAAUCCCCGGGCUCAACCUGGGAACUGCCUUUGUGACUGCAAGGCUUGAGUGCGGCAGAGGGGGAUGGAAUUCCGCGUGUAGCAGUGAAAUGCGUAGAUAUGCGGAGGAACACCGAUGGCGAAGGCAAUCCCCUGGGCCUGCACUGACGCUCAUGCACGAAAGCGUGGGGAGCAAACAGGAUUAGAUACCCUGGUAGUCCACGCCCUAAACGAUGUCAACUGGUUGUUGGGAAGGUUCCUUCUCAGUAACGUAGCUAACGCGUGAAGUUGACCGCCUGGGGAGUACGGCCGCAAGGUUGAAACUUAAAUGAAUUGACGGGGU